GGAGGGUGCAAGCGUUGUCCGGAAUCACUGGGUGUAAAGGGUGUGUAGGCGGGGCUGUAAGUCAGAGGUGAAAUCCUGCGGCUCAACCGUAGAACUGCCUUUGAUACUGCAGCUCUUGAGUCUCGGAGAGGUCAUUAGAAUUCGUGGUGUAGCGGUGAAAUGCGUAGAUAUCACGAGGAAUACCAGAGGCGUAGGCGGAUGACUGGACGAGUACUGGCGCUGAGGCACGAAAGCGUGGGGAGCAAACAGGAUUAGAUACCCUGGUAGUCCCACGCCCGUAAACGAUGAAUGCUCGGUGUUGCCCCGGAUUUUUUAGGGGGCAGUGCCUAAGCUAACCGCGUUAAGCAUUCCACCUGGGGUAGUACGCUCGCAAGAGUG
rnacentral:rRNA from 1 species